rnacentral:rRNA from 1 species
GCCGACGGAGGGGGAUAACUGCUGGAAACGGCAGCUAAUACCGCAUGAAGUCGUGAGACCAAAGUGGGGGACCUUCGGGCCUCACGCCGUCGGAUGAGCCCAGAUGAGAUUAGCUGGUAGGUAGGGUAAAGGCUUACCUAGGCGACGAUCUCUAGCGGGUCUGAGAGGAUAGCCCGCCACACUGGAACUGAGACACGGUCCAGACUCCUACGGGAGGCAGCAGUGGGGAAUAUUGCACAAUGGGCGAAAGCCUGAUGCAGCCAUGCCACGUGUGUGAAGAAGGCCUUCGGGUUGUAAAGCACUUUCAGUGAGGAGGAAGCGAUAAAUGCCAAUACCAUUUAUUUUUGACGUUACUCGCAGAAGAAGCACCGGCUAACUCCGUGCCAGCAGCCGCGGUAAUACGGAGGGUGCGAGCGUUAAUCGGAAUAACUGGGCGUAAAGGGCAUGUAGGCGGUGAGUUAAGUCAGAUGUGAAAUCCCCGAGCUCAACUUGGGAAUGGCAUUUGAAACUGGGUCGCUAGAGUUUUCUAGAGGGGGGUAGAAUUCCAGGUGUAGCGGUGAAAUGCGUAGAUAUCUGGAGGAAUACCGGUGGCGAAGGCGGCCCCCUGGAGAAAGACUGACGCUGAUGUGCGAAAGCGUGGGGAGCAAACAGGAUUAGAUACCCUGGUAGUCCACGCUGUAAACGAUGUCGAUUUG